AUGCGUUCUAGACGUCUUUGUUGUGGCAAUGAGAUAUUCUUUUUUCCCUUUUCCCUUCGCCUUCCUCUCCACUGUUUUUUAGCCCAUUUGACCGCUCAUCGGAGUAUUUUCAGUUGUAGAAGAUGAUUUGUAGGCCUUCUUCUAAAUUUUUUGCUUUUUUGGAUGCACGAGCACUCCCUUCAACCUCAGCGUACUUGGGACAUGUCGUCAGAAUUCUCCAAACUCUAAGAUACUUAAAAUCUUGCUAGCGUGAUGUUGCUCGUAUUCUGUUUAUGUCAUCUUAAAAAUAUUGGCAUCAUUCUUACCAUUUUUCCAUAUGCUCACAAUCCUGUUAUAACGUUUAGAAAAUAAUUUUAUCUGUUUUUGCAUUUUGUAGAAUUGCGCCUUCAAUUGUUUAUCCUGGCUCGUUAGGGUGUUGAUAUGACGAUUUGCGUUGUAGGCUUGUGCAAUAUGUUCUCACAUUUGCUCACUUCUUUUAUCAUUUUCCACCACUGAAUUGAUAUUAAUAUUGAUCCAACAUUGUGCGAGAAGCUUGCACUACGCAUCUGAAUAAUCCGCCCAACCCUUUCUGGUAGAUUGGUUGUCGUCAUCGAAGUGUGCCUCGACAAACAAAUAUUUUAAAGCCUAUUCGGAAUAUAUAGUGUUAGCUUUCUUUAUUGUUUGUUUAGAACUUCGAAGUUGGAACUUUUGAU
rnacentral:lncRNA from 1 species